rnacentral:miRNA from 1 species
AUCAUCGUUUAAAAUAUUCAUU